UGCUGGUUUCUACCGCGGUGAUAUUUCUGAGUUGUAACUAUCACCGGGUAAAAAUUUGGCAC
rnacentral:pre_miRNA from 1 species